GAUAUUCUGAAGGGGUGCCUAAGAAGCGAGGGAUUUUCCCGACACUUCUACCUGCCGCGAGAAGGCAGGGUAAUACAACGGGCUGAGAUUAUACCCAUGAACCUGAUCCGGGUAAUGCCGGCGGAGGGAAAGAGUUAUAAUACAAGC
rnacentral:ncRNA from 1 species